GAUGGAUUCCAAAGAGAGGUUGCUGAACUUUCCCAGCAGUUGGACAGGGAACGUGAACAGUGCACGCAGCUGGAGGCCAAAAAUCAGGCUUUGCAAGAAGAGCUGUCUGCCCUGCGUGGGGAGUGCGAGAACCUGGCCAUGGACAAAUGCCAGCUGCAAGAAGAGCUGGCAAAACUCCACCAUCAUUUGGAGACCAACGUGGUGGAUCGCAGCCAACUCGAACAGUGCAAAAGAGAGGUGGAAGAACGAGCAGACCAGGAAAUAAGACAAAAACUCCAAGAAGUCAAUGAGUUUUUGCAAGCACAGGCAGCCCACCAGGACACCUUAGAAGAAAUCAGAAGCAGUC